ACCAGCAUGACCUAGUGGUUUGAGUGUUGGGUUAUGACUCUGGAGACCAGGGUUCGAGUCCUUGUUUGGCUG